ensembl:lncRNA
UUGGGCAUUAUUCAGCCUUAGCGAAUCCACAUGCUGCUGAGAGGACUUCCAGUGUAAGUAAAAAGGCAGAAACUUUGGCAUCACUACAGCCUGACCCCAGGGUCAGUAUCAGUAGCAAUGGCGGAGUUAGAAUCGCUCUUCGGUAGUUUGGGCUGGGGCCUUGACGCAGGCGGAUCAGCCUGGCCAUCUUGGGGGGCGUCUGUGGAGCAGAGCUCCUGAGGCCUAAUGCGUCCUUUAGAAACGAAAUAGUAUCUGAGCAAGUUGCUGGUGGUGGAGUCACUUAAUUUGUUUGUCGGGUGAGUAGCUGUAGGUUUGAGAGGGGCUCCUCCCGGUUCCUCCGCCUCUUCUGUCUCCUGUGAUCUUCUUCCCCUGGUGGUCUCCCUGCGGGCGCACCUGUCAUCCUGAUCCGACCUGAGGAGCAGACUCCCUGUGAGACUUCUAUUUGUAUUUAGCUUUCUGAGAACCUAGUUUUAGGGAAAUUUUUACAGACACAAUGUAUUUAUGCUUCAGUGUGCGUGUUAUUUUAUUCCAACGUUCCUGAUAGUGGAAAACCGUAUUCCCACGCAAACUCAGAAUGCUAUAUUUUUAACAGCACUCCAGCAUUUUUCUUCAUAUAUCACCUUCACUGACUCCCCUGAGUCAUUGAGCGUCCAUACGUGUCCUUCACCACCCCCACCCCCAGCACCUGUGUCGGCAAAAGAAGUGAUGUGUGUGGGCGUGAAGCAGAGAAGCUUUAUAAAUGCACAGCGGUGACCUGUCACAUACCUCACCUCACGGUUCCUCACUCUUCCGAAUUCUGGUGUGCUUCAUCCGUAAACCAGCGGAGGCGCAAUAUUGACUCUUGAUCACCGGGCACAGUCUUCUUUGAGGCUUUCCAUAUACCAGGGGAUAUUCUAGAAAGUUAGCGACGCUGUUUUAAGCAACGUGCCGGAGCCUGUGCAUCUGAACACGAUCUGCCCUUUAGGUUCGGUGGUCCGGGUCGCUCCAGAAGUGCUACCACUCCUCCCGACGUUUGGAAGACGUUUACUCUGGAAUCACCUCUCGUUUUUCACCGUUACCCACGUGUUCGCCAGACCUGGAAUUGAGUCACUUUUGGCUUUUUUCCCCCAAAGUCAGCUUCCAAAACAGGAAUUGAUUCCAUUAAUCCUAUUCGGAAGAACAUGCUGUACGUUCUAGAGACAACGCCAGGAGGAUUUGCACCACCUCACUGUUCUGAACAAGGGACAGCACUUGCUAAUCACGUUGAUUUGUGAUUGGUGUUUUUAAAAGCCAGUCAUAAAAUCUUUCAUUGUAAAGGUCCACCUUUUAGAUCAUAAAUUCCUUCCUUAUAAAAUCCCUUCUGUUUCCCACUAUGGCCCAUCCUGACCACUGACAACAUCAAGGUGGUUAAACCUGUUUCGUUGAGUCCUUGAUACCCACCUGUCAUAGGUCACGCUGGAUUCCUUGGUUAACUGCUUCUUUCUCUUUCUUUUUUUAAGGUUUUUUUAAAGUUUGUUUUGAAAGAGAGCAUGAGCAAGCAGGGGAGGGGCUGAGAGGAGGAGGGAGAGAGAGAGAAUAUCCCAAGCAGGUUCAGUGCUGCCAGUGUGGAGGCCAGUGCAGGGCUUGAACUCCUGAACCGUGAGAUCAUGACCUGAGCUGAAAUCAGGAGUUGGACACUUAACCCACUAGGCCACGCAGGUGCCCCUCCUUGGUUAACUUUUUCAAAACAGCAAUUUCCGUUAUCCUUUUUUUUUCUUACUCUCCUUUCCCCCCCUUUCAGACUAUAGAUUCCCUUACACUUGGAGAGAAUUCCAUUCCUCAUUCCCUUGUACUUGAAAUUUCAAGAAACCAGGAACAGAUCUGGUUGUCUCCAGAUCCCUGCUCUCUGCUCACCCUCUGUAAGACAUGAACUCUGCCUGAGACCUGUGCCACCUGUGUGCAGUCUUUCAGGACGGAGUCCUUGCCGGGGGGAAGAUCCGUACACACGUGCACGGCCCCCCAGGCAGUUGCGGGGAGCGCUUGUCCAGCGACGGCUCGCAGAGGAGCGUGUUGAAACCACUGUAGGCACAGCAGCUGACAUCUCUUUGCCACCGUGAUGUGUGGCCACGCUACACAUUAAGCCCACAGUGACUAAGUGUCUGGCAGAAUUCAGAGAAAGCAAGACGUGCCCUGAAAGCUCAGUGUUCUGGAAAGAAGGAGGACAGACUGUGACCUGAAAGAACCAUUGUAGAAAUAGCCACACGGUGUAAGAACAGAGAGGCUGCUGUUUCUUUGGCAGCACAUGUGCAAGUUCAUUCUUGGUCUUCCCCUCUCACUGCACCAGACUGUGGUUGCUCCAUCUUUAUGACCUUAUUUUGAGCUCCUAACCAUGAGUGAUGUGUGCUAAGUUCCAUUAUAUCCUGCAGAUUCUACUUUUAGGCUCUUGAUCUGAAAUGAACUGUUCACCAGUACCUUCUCCCGUCGUGAUCUUCUCAUUUUAGGAUCUGGCAUGAUAAAGUGGUUCUUCUGUCAUUCUGCUGCCGUCCAACAUCGUCCUAGGAGAGGCGUGCUAGGCUUCAGAGGGUUACUGCAUUGAGCAGGGUGGCAGUGCUGGAAUGUGGUGGGUGAUUGCCAUGCACAGUGGUUAGCUUUACUCUUGGUUCCGAGAAUCGAAAUAGUAAUAGCUGACAUUUAUUAAGUACUUACUGUGUGCCAGGCUCUAUGCUAAGCGUUUCUCAUGGUUAUUAUCUAUUGUAUCUUGAAUUUUAUAGAUGAGGAAAUAGGCUUAGAGAGAUGAGUUGACCAAGGUCAUGUAGCUGGGAAAUGACAGAGCAGGGGCCCUGCCCAGCAGUGGCAGAUUCUCGCGCCUGUGCUGCUGACCACUGUGUGAUACUGUCUCUAACACACACCCUCUUGCCAGCCAGCCGUUGGAAAAUUCAGCGUCCCUGGCCAUAAGCCAGUUAGCUGCUGGGGAAGAGAGUACAUGGUGGUACAGCACCGUGUACUGCGAUUGGUUGAAAAUGUCAUGUUGGUUGAUGGUCGUAUUGUUAAAUGUUGAUACUUCUGAUGCUUUGUAGUCUAGAAAGCUAAAUUGUACAAGUAAAACAUGUGAGUAUCUGGCAGGAUAAAGCAAUAAGGUACAGAUUUGGGUACAUUUCUCUCUAAACUGUGCCAGGGAAGUAGACUCAUGGAGGGAAAUGAAAUAUCCAUGUGUCCGGCCAUGCAUAUGGUCUAUUUACCAACAGCGUAAAAUGUGGAAAACCUUCAAUUUCCUUGCCCAUUUCCAAUUGCCAUUCUGUUUUUCUUUUGUCAUUCGUGAUCUUUCAAACAUGUCAUCCGUUCUUCAAUCCCAUUUUCUCAAUAUAUUCUUAAAACUUCUUACCAGCCUAUGUACUCAGCAUGCCACUUAAGUCACCUAUGGACAAACAUCAAUGCCUUUUCUAAAUUCUUGUCCCAUUUUGUUUUGAGAGAGUAAGCGAGCAUGUGAGGAGGGGAGGGGCAGGAAGAGAGAGAAUUUCAAGUAGGCUCUGCACUGUCAGCAUGGAGCCCGAUGUAGGCCUCAAACUUAAGAAACCUGAGAUCAUGACCUGAGCAGAAAUCAAGAGUCGGACCCUUAAUGGAUUGAGCCACACACGUGCCCCCUGUCCUUGAUCUACAUUUCACACUGUUGAGUUUUCCCUGAUCCUUUUUGAUUAUCAUCCUCCUAAUUUUUAGCUUUUCUUUAUUAUUUUUUCUCCUCUCCACUGAAAGUAAUCCCCAUGUCUUGAUUUAAUCCAGUAUUUUUCCUGCAUUCAUUUCCAUUUGUCUAUUUUGAUUGUUCACACUUAACGUUCUGUAUUUCAGUAAUUAUUUCCCACCCUGUGGGUCAGUUACCUACACAAUUUGAUAUUUGAAAACAGAACUCAUCACUCUUGUCCUUCAGACUACAUUUUCCUUUUAAAUAGGCAUUAUUGCUUAGCUUCUUUACCCUGAAUAGACUCACUGCCCUUCAUAUUUCUCUAUUGUUUUUAAAGUAGGCUCUACGCUCAGGGUGGGGCUCAAACCCACAAGCCUGAGAUCGUGUCCUGAGCCCCCCAGGCACCCUGCCCUUCAUAUUUCUCAUCCUAGUCUUGGAGUGAUCCUUUAGUCUUUUUCUGCUCUCUACUCCACACAUCUCAAAUCAUUCCAGUUCUCAGUUUUCUCCUUGAGGCUGGAUCCCUUAGGUUUCUGCCAUCCUCUGUAGCCUUCUGCUAAGCCUUGUCAUCUGAAGGCCAGGGUGUGGUCUUUCUAGCUUCCUUGCUUUUAAGACCCCCUUCCAGUAACGCUUCUAAGGUGAUCCUCCUCAAAAUCCAUUUUCGGUGAAAAACACUUAGCAGAUGAUUGCUCUCUCCGGGGUGUUCCAGGUUCUCCAUGUUGUGCCCUUCAUGCUUCAUCUCCCUCAGCCUCAUUCUCUAGCUUGUUCGAACUUCCUGCGGCCUUUCACUGCUGUCUUACAAGCCCUUGCCUCUGUGCCUUUCUCAUGCAAUUUCUUUUGUUCUGGAUUGGGUUUUUUUUGGCCCCACCUCUUAUUCAUCCAUCCCUUCAGAGCCUAGCUUCUUUAUCUAAUCCCAGGGGCUCUCCUUGACUUCACCUCACACAGAGACCUCCCUUGAUCUGUGCUGCCUCCGCACUUACCCUUUGAGUUUGUACUGUGGUCCAUGCACUUACUAAUAUGUUGCUUUUGAUUAUUUUCUAGCUCUUUGUAUUGUAGUUUCACAUUUGUAUUUAUUUCUAAAAUUAAAUUGUAAGCUCCUUGAGGGCAGGAAUAAUAACUUUUACAUUUGUAUCUCUACACCCCCUAGUGCCUAGUACAGUGCUGAGCACACAGUAGGCGUUUAAUAAAUGCUUGUCGAAUCAUUGUGUGGAUUUUUUUUGGAGUUAUCUACAGAAAAUUUUAAGCUGUUUUCAAGGUUGUAUGUCUCUCUUACCACUUUGUGCGCAGACCUGUUUCUGUACUACAUCUGUAGUUGCCUGUGCCUAAGACUAAGACUAAAAAACCCAACUUUAGGAGAAUAUAUGUGAAAACUAAAACAAGAAGCUCUCCAUUUCUUUUUGGCCAAAUUUAUUUUUUAAGGAAAAAAAUAGGAAUAGGAAACUCUAAAGAUUAUGGUGUUAAAAGUUAUUGUUGCAGAAGUGCUUGAGAAUAGACUUUUGUAUCUGAGGUUAAACUGGUGGUUCUUAACUGGAGAAAACUGGCCGUGUCUGGAGAUAGCUUUGGUUCUCCCAUCGGUGGACACCUCAGAUGCUAGUGUCUAGCAGACAGAGGCUAAGGAUGCUGUGAACACCUUGCAUGCACAAACAGCCCCCACAACAACAAAAGUUAUCUGGCUUCAUGUGUUUAAUAGUGCCAACGUUGAGAAGCCCUGGGCUGGACAUAUUUGAGGUAUAUAGGAGAAAGAAGAGAGAGGAAUACUAGCAUUGCAAUUAGAAAAAUUAGCUAUGGCAAGCUUUAAAAGGACCUUGUUAGAUAUAUAAUAUGUAAGAUUAGAAAAGAAAAGGAGUUCACAGCAAUAUAUACAUCAGAGUGAUGGUAAACCAUAAAAUGUUUUUAAGUGUUUACUUUUGAG